rnacentral:rRNA from 1 species
UACGUAGGGGGCAAGCGUUGUCCGGAUUUAUUGGGCGUAAAGCGUCCGCAGGUGGCGAUUCAAGUCUGCGGUCAAAGACUGGGGCUUAACCCUGGAAAGGCCGUGGAAACUGAAUAGCUAGAGUGCAGUAGGGGUAGAGGGAAUUCCCGGUGUAGCGGUGAAAUGCGUAGAGCUCGGGAAGAACAUCGGUGGCGAAAGCGCUCUGCUGGACUGCAACUGACACUCAGGGACGAAAGCUAGGGGAGCGAAUGGG